rnacentral:rRNA from 1 species
GAGGRAGUAAAAGUCGUAACAAGGUUUCCGUAGGUGAACCUGCGGAAGGAUCAUUAUCGAACAUGUGAGAGAGGGCUGUCGCUGGCUCUGACAGGGCAUGUGCACGUCCUUUCUCUCGCUCACACCAUACCCUUGUGCACCUUCUGUAGGUCCUCGCGAGAGGAUCUAUGUCUUUUNGUCUUCACACCCGAUCGUAUGGCCANAGAAUGUAUCUCUAUGUUGUAAAUACAACUUUCAGCGACGGAUCUCUUGGCUCUCGCAUCGAUGAAGAACGCAGCGAAUCGCGAUAAGUAAUGUGAAUUGCAGAUUUCCAGUGAAUCAUCGAAUCUUUGAACGCAUCUUGCGCUCCUUGGUAUUCCAUGGAGCAUGCCUGUUUGAGUGUCAUUUGAUGUCUCAACCACAUCUUCCUUGAUGUGGCUUGGAGUUUGGGAGCUUGCUGGCGUCGAGAGACGUCUGCUCUCCUGAAAUGCAUUAGCAAAGACCAGCGAUGCACGGCCUUUCGACGUGAUAAUGAUCGUUGUGGGCUGGAAUGUCUAGUGGUCGUGUUGCUUCCAAUCCCAUGACAAAGAGGGGUGCUCAGUCNACUUGGUGACUAGUUGGCCUCUGGCUAGCGAACACAAGAUGGCUCGAGUCUCUCUUCCAUGUCAGUUUGACAACUUGACCUCAAAUCAGGAGA